rnacentral:lncRNA from 1 species
UCAGAAUUCUGGUGCGCCUCAAUGUCCUUGUCGGCUAUCAUCGCGUUUUUAAUGUCUGAAGCUAAUUUUGAACUGCCCGCAGUAUCGUUCACUUGUGAUGUUACAAAGAAAGGCACUCUAUUCCUGGAGUCUUCUAGAGGACCACUACACCCUCAAUCUAUUCAAUUUGGUGGCUGCUGAUGUGAGCGGCUGUCAUUCCUGGUGUUUGUCUUGUACAAUUCAGGUUAGCAACGCCAAACCAUGUGUAUUUUAUCGUCAAAUGCUUUACUCAUUCCGCGCCGUCCCAAAAUAAUUGACGUUCUUGUUUUUAACUUUGGAAAAAAAAUACUCCCUCCGUUUCUUUUUAUUUGUCGCUGGAUAGUGUAAUUUUGUACUAUCCAGCGACAAAUAAAAAGAAACGGAGGGAGUACAAGAGAAUAUUAAUAUUUAUAGUAUAUAAUUAGUAUCAUUAUAUAUCUAUUUCUAUAACAUAUUUAUUUGAAGAUAUAAAUAUUGCUAAUAUUUUUAUAAAUCAAAUAAUUCUUUUAAAAAAAUACCGGCACGAAUAUGAUAACGAUUAACAACGACUAUUUUAAAACUGAGGGAGUACCUUUUAAGUCAUGGUUUUGGCAAAAAAAAAAUACUUGGUCGUUUCUCCUGCUGGUAUAGUAGGAAGUCAAAAGAUAGGACCGCCAUUACUAGUACCGGAAGGAAUCAGCGGUCUGACCGUUAAUGGUAUCCACAAUAGUUGUAUUAGGUACAGUUGAUGAUGUAGAGCUAAGAGAAAAAUAAAAAUAGUAAUUUAUCUUACCAUUAGUACUUAGUCGUACAUGUAAUACACUUAGUUUUUUGGAAUACGUGAAAUCUCAUAUCUAUUUGCUCGUCGCUAGUUAUUCUUGUUUUUCCCAUAUUUUCUAUCUACGUAUAAAAGAGAGUGAAUCUAGUUAGUAAAAUUGCUAGCCAUGGGAGACGCCCUAAAGGACCGAACUAGAGACUAGUAGUUCGGUUCGUUUUACAGACCAAAGCCGGUUCAACUGAUCGGGUUUUUUGCAGAACCGGUGAACAUGGCAACAUGCUGACUAAGAGAAUCUAGCAGCAUCUUCGAGGGACUCAUAUUUACCUCUCUAUAAAGAUUAAAU